rnacentral:lncRNA from 1 species
UGAGGGAAACUCAGACCAAAGAGCAGCGGCAAGAAAGCAGUUGGGUCCCCACAAACCGUCCGAAGUCAAGCUUCUCCAUCAUCUUUCUCCACCUGAUUCGUAGAGACCUCUGGAUGUCUGAGCCUAAGCAGGGCCACUAAAUGAGAGGGAAUUCCAUCACUGAAAAGCAACAAUGAAUAUAUUAAGGACCACAGGAGAGAUAGAAGAAAUAUUGCAAUUGAAGCUGCUAGAUGGUUAUGAUUAUCUGAAUAGGUGUGAUCUUGACUUUAGCGAAUUAAC